rnacentral:rRNA from 1 species
ACAAUGGGCGCAAGCCUGAUGGAGCAACACCGCGUGAGUGAAGAAGGGUUUCGGCUCGUAAAGCUCUGUUGUUUAAAGAAGAACACGUAUGAGAGUAACUGUUCAUACGUUGACGGUAUUUAACCAGAAAGUCACGGCUAACUACGUGCCAGCAGCCGCGGUAAUACGUAGGUGGCAAGCGUUAUCCGGAUUUAUUGGGCGUAAGAGAGUGCAGGCGGUUUUCUAAGUCUGAUGUGAAAGCCUUCGGCUUAACCGGAGAAGUGCAUCGGAAACUGGAUAACUUGAGUGCAGAAGAGGGUAGUGGAACUCCAUGUGUAGCGGUGGAAUGCGUAGAUAUAUGGAAGAACACCAGUGGCGAAGGCGGCUACCUGGUCUGCAACUGACGCUGAGACUCGAAAGCAUGGGUAGCGAACAGGAUUAGAUACCCUGGUAG